rnacentral:lncRNA from 10 species
GCCUGAGGCAGCCUCUGCGGGGCUGGCGGCCUGUCUGGCUGCGCGUCCUGUGGCACCGGCCUCACCCCCGGCACACGCCGGCCAGGAGCGCAGGGGCCCCGAGGACGGAAGCGUCUGUCUGAGGCCCUCUCCUGGGCCCCACACCGCCUUCGGGGCUGAUGCAUAGACCAGGAAUUGGGGAGACCUGGUGUGGAGGAGGCCGCUGUGUUUGGGCCUGGGUCUGAAGGGCGCCCGCCCACAUGUUAGGGGAGCUGGAGGAACCUGACGUCUCCGCCCUCGAGUGCCCCUCCGAGCUGAGGUUGGACGUUUGCACAGGAGCAGGGAGUUCUCACGUGGUCUUCAGAGGUUGCCACACGCUGCUUCCCACAGCAGCUGCACCACCUUACCUUCCAACAGCAAUGGACAAGGGCUCUAAUCUAAUCUCUUCGUAUUCUUGCAAACACUUGUUAUUUUAUAUGUGUGUGUGUGUGUUUUUUUUUUUUUUUUUUUUU